GAUGAACGCUGGCGGCGUGCCUAACACAUGCAAGUCGAGCGGACGGACGAUAAGCUUGCUUCUCUGAUGUUAGCGGCUGACGGGUGAGUAACACGUGGAUCACCUACUUAUAUUACUGGGAUAACUUCGGGAAACCGGAGCUAAUACCAGAUAAUAUUUUGAACCGCAUGGUUCAAAGGAGAAAGACGGCCUUGGUGUCUCUUAUAGAUGGAUCCGCGCUGCAUUAGCUAGUUGGUAAGGUCACGGCCUACCAAGGCAACGAUGCAUAGCCGACCUGAGAGGGUGAUCGGCCACACUGGAACUGAGACACGGUCCAGACUCCUACGGGAGGCAGCAGUCGGGAAUCUUCCGCAAUGGGCGAAAGCCUGACGCAGCAAUGCCGCGUGAGUGAUGAAGGUCUUCGGAUCGUAAAGCCCUGUUUUUAGGUAAGAACAUAUGUGGAAUGAACUGUGGACAUCUUGACGGUACCUAAUCAAAAAGCCACGGCUAACUACGUG
rnacentral:rRNA from 1 species